CCAGUGGGGGUGCUGGUUGGAAGCUUGAGGAGCAGGUUUUUGAACCUUAUUAAACGAAAUUAGUGACCUUGGGACCUUGUUUGGAAGGUGUUCUAACUACGGCGGGCGGGUAUUUGACCCUUGGACCGUCUUCGACUGGCCUUGGAGGACCUUUUGGAAGCUUAACUUGAGCAGCAGUGGGACCUCGUGGGGCUGAUUUUGGGACCCUUGCAAACUGAUUUGGAGCAUUGCACGAGAGCCUGUUACAGGAGAGGCUAGGGAUCGUGGCAAG